rnacentral:lncRNA from 1 species
GCAGCGGGGUUCACACAUAGUGGGUCUGCCUUGCUCAGCAUUGAUACUCCUAUUUUACUAAAAUGAAUGUAUACAAAGUACAAGUGCAAAAUUUGGUGUAGAAACUAUUUUCACUCAAAUUGAUGGUAAAUUUCACAUUUAUGUACAAAGAAAUAACAUUUAACAAUAGCAUAAUUUUCUUGUAAAACAUACACCAAUAAUUUUGGUAAUCCUACAUUAAGGCUACGUCCACACGAAGCCAGAGCUUUCCCUAUCCCAAUCUUUUUUUUCCCUCAUCUCCAAACCACAAGAGACAGGGGUAACUGCAGCCUGGAGCAAUGGGCGUGCCAAAAGGUUUCUCAUUGGUCAAAGGAGUUUUACUGUGUUGGCCAAUCAGCGGUAAAUAUACAUGUACGUAAUUUCCUUUAGACAAGAGAAGGUGGCGGCGAUAAGACAUGGUGUAAUUAUUCAUCACACGUUUAUCUAUGCUUUAUAUACCACAAAUAUGUAUAUUAAGAUAGCUUGUUACAAUACGAUCAUAAUUUUCCCUUUGCGUUAUAUCUUGCAGCUUUAGUAAUUGGUUUAUUGUUGUUGACAGACAUACUGUAUGUACAGUGAGACAAAACGAUGACCGCAUCUGCAUCGAAGCUCUCAGAGUUGAUAGUUUGUAUCGGCGUCCUUUUUGUGCAAUACAGUACAGAAUACAUCCUGUAUCCAACUAAUGCAGAGUAUAUUCAAGUUGCCAACACACUGGUUGUGAAGAACCCUUUCCAGAGAAAUAUAGAAGGAAAUGACUGUGUAAGUGACAUUGUUUUUAAUCCAUUUGUUUAUCUCUAUCAACAUAAUCACACACAAUAUUGUAGUAACAAUAUAUUGUAAUCUUUAUUUGCUGGAAAAUGACAAUCAGUCAAAUUUGUGUUUUUAGCACACCUGACACAUCCCUAAACCGGAAAUUUAAAGCAGAACGUGCACCUAGGUAUCCAACUAAUAGCAGAGUAUAUUCAAGUUGCCAACACACUGGUUGU